UACGAAGGGGGCUAGCGUUGCUCGGAAUCACUGGGCGUAAAGCGCACGUAGGCGGACUCUUAAGUCGGUGGUGAAAUCCUGGAGCUCAACUCCAGAACUGCCUUCGAUACUGGGAGUCUCGAGUUCGGGAGAGGUGAGUGGAACUGCGAGUGUAGAGGUGAAAUUCGUAGAUAUUCGGAGGAACACCAGUGGCGAAGGCGGCUCACUGGUCCGGUACUGACGCUGAGGUGCGAAAGCGUGGGGAGCAAACAGG
rnacentral:rRNA from 1 species